GCCGGGAUUCCUGAGCCUGGUACAGGGCAGGCCUGGAGAGCCUGUGGCCCUUACGGGCCGCGUGGGUUCAAAUCCCACUCCCGGCGCCA
rnacentral:tRNA from 1 species